AGUGAACUUCGUUUGUAGUGAAAAUCCUUUUGUGCCGGGGUUCGGCACAAAAGAUUGCAACGAAUAGCGGGAAUAGCU
rnacentral:sRNA from 1 species